rnacentral:rRNA from 1 species
CCGGCGACCGGCGCACGGGUGAGUAACACAUAUGCAACCUGGCCGUCACAGGUGGAUAACCGGAAGAAAUUCCGACUAAUACAGCAUAACACUCCUGAGGGACAUCCCUUGGGAGUCAAAGGAGGCAACUCCGGUGACGGAUGGGCAUGCGGCGCAUUAGGUAGUUGGUAGGGUAACGGCCUACCAAGCCGACGAUGCGAAGGGGUUUUGAGAGGAAGGUCCCCCACAUUGGAACUGAGACACGGUCCAAACUCCUACGGGAGGCAGCAG